rnacentral:tRNA from 1 species
AAAAAGAUAAAAUUGAAGCUGCUAACUUUGAUUAGGGGGAAUUUUUCCUCCUCUUUUUU